GAUGUACUCCCUCCGUUCCAAAUUACUCGUCGCAGAAAUGGAUGUAUUUAGAACUAAAAUACAUCUAGAUACAUCCAUACCUGCGACAAGUAAUUCGGAACGGAGGAAGUAGGAU
rnacentral:pre_miRNA from 1 species